rnacentral:rRNA from 1 species
CUCGUAGGCGGCUCGUCGCGUCCGGUGUGAAAGUCCAUCGCUUAACGGUGGAUCCGCGCCGGGUACGGGCGGGCUUGAGUGCGGUAGGGGAGACUGGAAUUCCCGGUGUAACGGUGGAAUGUGUAGAUAUCGGGAAGAACACCAAUGGCGAAGGCAGGUCUCUGGGCCGUUACUGACGCUGAGGAGCGAAAGCGUGGGGAGCGAAUA